AUAGAACGUAAGUGAUCCUUCCGCAGCGACACUUACAGAAGCCUUUGCGGCCCCUUAGGGGGUGCUGCCGCGACUCUAAACAAUGGUACAGCGCAAGUCCACGAUGUGGGCAAUAUGAUCGAAUUGCGGGAAGCCCUAAAGCUCUAUGGUACCAACCGCUAGUGGAAACGCUGGCGGGGCUAACGCUAAUUCCGUUAGGUGGUCAUAAUCCAGAGAGAUUUAGCAAUGGGUAAUCCGCAGCGAAGCCCCU
rnacentral:misc_RNA from 1 species